rnacentral:lncRNA from 1 species
GAUUUGGCUUGAUGGCUGAAGACUGCUGGUGUAUUUGUUCUGGUUUCCUCUUACGCGUUCGUGAGAGUGGCCUCGCGUUCGCAAAGGGCAUCUGUGUCACGACCCAAAAUCUCACCAUAGGCAUCGUGAUGGCACUUAGUCUCUAAGACUAAGUAAGCCGAUUAUAAUUAUAAUUCAAGCCAAUUUUUUUUAAAAAAAAUAGAAACUAACAGCGAAAAUAGUUACAAACAACCUCCCAAGACUGGUAAUACUGAGUCACGAACUCUAACUGAAUACAUGAAAUGAUCUCAAAGAUCGAAUACUCAAUACUGUUUGAUUAAUAAUUAACAGUACAAUAAAUUGGAAAGACUUCAAGGGACUGCGACGACCAAACAGCUCUACCUUGAAUCCUUGCAAUCACACUCUAACUUUCUCUGAGUCCGAUAGCUCCAAUACCUGGCUCUGCAAAAAAAUGUGCAGAAGUGUAGUAUGAGUACACCACGGUCAGUACCCAGUAAGUAUCAAGACUAACAUCUGUGUAUUAGUGACGAGGUACAGUCAAGACACUCACUAGUCUAAUAACUUGUGCAAUAUAGUAUACAAAAAUAAUAGAAAACAAAUAACAAUGAUGGCAACAAUAAUCAACCGGUGAUAUACACAACACGGACAACUUACGUGCCAAUAUCAUCAUCAUUUACCCACGGCACCUCGUGCCCCCCAUUUCAUAUCACAACUGCACGGACAGUUCACAUGUCAAUAUCAUCAUUAUUUACUCACGGCGCCUCGUGCCCACAUUUCAUUUCAUAAUCUACCCGGCAAUAGCUAUAGGCUCCCAAUUUCAACAUAGAUUAGACUAUUAUCAAUUUACCAACAACAAGACAAAUUGCACAAGAUAUAAAAAUAAACACAAGGAAAAGCACAACAUCACAUGAAAAUUACCAACGCAAUAACCCCACAUCAUCACAUAAAAAUUACCAACACAAUAACUCCACAUCAUCACGUAUCAUCCCUGACAAUGGCCACUCUUAUCUCUCCUAUAGCCACCCUUAUCACUCUUAUAAUAACCUCCCUUAUCCCUCCGCCCUGACAAUAUCAAUAGCCACCAUUAUCGCUCCUACAGCCAUCCUUAUCGCUCCGUAUAAUAGCCACCAUUCUCACUCCGCCCAAACAAUAUCCCAACACACAUAAUCACGGUGAAAUGUCACCCUUAUACCCACAUAAUAUCAACAGUGAAAUGUCACCCUUAUAUCCUCAUAAUAACAACUCAAAUCACACAACAAUUUACACGAGAUAUUAUCACGACAACACAACACAAUCAAUUUCUAUCACAAUUUGCCCAACAACCACAAUCAAUUCCAAUGAUAUAGUAAAAUCAAUAAAUUUCUCAAAAAUAGCCCAAAGCUCCACACAACGUAUAUAAAACCUCAAAAAAAAUCAACAAAGAUAGAAAAUACUCAGUAUAGGGCAACACAUUCAUUAAUCCAAAUUCUUGAUAAUUGUAUUAACGCCUCAAUUUAAACUUAGUUCAUUAAUUAUUUGCAGAUGGAAAAAUUCAUAAUAUAAUUAUUUUCAGGAAAUAUCAAAUCAACAAACUCAUGGAAUUUACAUAAAUAUUCAAGUAAUACUCACAUCAAAUUGUCAUAUAAAAAUAAAUUCAACAAACAAGGAUUGAGGCAUGACAAAUAGAUGAUUUAAUAAAUACCAACAAUUAUCCAAUUUACUACACAAUAAUGCCUAAGACUUUAACCCAAUAAAAUUUGCACAUAUAAGCCCGAGUACAUACUCGUCACCUCGUGUACACGAUUUUUUAUAUUUCAUAAAUGGCACAUAAGACUCGAUGCCUAUGGGGUAAUUCUCCCACUCAAGGUUAGGCAAGAUACUUACCUCAAAGCCAUGUAAAUUCUUACUCCGUUAUACCCUUGCCUCGUGAAUUGGUCUCCAAACGUCCCGAAUCUUUUGUGUAGCAAAGUUUUCUCCAGAUUUUAAUUAAGAAAGAACCUCUUUAUACAGUAACAACGUUACCCAGAGAUGAAUUAGAAACCAAAUCUGACAACAACACCUCAAUUGCGUUUCAAAUCUGGACCGAUACCGCAGACCAUAGCACUCAAACUAUACCCACCCUAACGGCAACUUCGGUUGGAUUUCAAAUCUAGAGAUCUAGCCCGAAAUUUACCCUUAAUAUUCAACCCAUUUCUGAUUUCUAAUUCACUGAUAAUUUUGACAAAGAAAAUGAUAAAGGACGGUGGUGGGGGAGCUUUAAAAAUAGAGAAAGGGUGGUGUUGCAGUCAAGGAAAGUUCACGGGAGAAGAUUUUGUUAAUUUGUGGUCCAAAUAUUGGUUGAAUAGAGGUGAUGGAAUUAUGUAGUUUCCAUGUUAAAAGUCUGUGAAAAGAACUAAAAUUUUGGUGGAGUUUUGCAUAGAUGGAGAAAAUUUUGCCUAAUGGAGAAGAUGAGCAAUUGUUUUUCCUUUUCCCCUCUCUGUUUCUCCAAAUGCUACUUGAUUGUGUAUUAUCAGUGAUUUUUGUGAGUCACGUGAGAUGUCGAGGUGAGGUUUCCAGAGUGAUGCCAAGAAAAUUGAAUAUGGAAAUCCUAUUCUAGAAGAGCGUACGUGAAGAGUAAUUCCUUACAGAAAGUGACAAAAUUCAUGAGCUUUUUUUUUA